CAUUCUGUUUAAUAAUCUACAAUCUUAAUUCUCGAAUUUACCUAGUACAAAACAGUAAAUAUAAUUUUUUAAGUAUAAAAUAAGUUUAAAUUUUGUAUAUUAUAUAAUAGUGAAUAAUAUAACCUUUAAUAUGAGUGGUAGAAACUUACUAAAUAUUUUAAUGGCAUAAUAUGGAUAAUUAAAGAGAGAUUUUAGUAUAGUACAGUUAUGCAGUCAUGAACUAAACUCGAUAUAUACUGUUAUAAAUAAGACCUAGCUGCAUACUUACGAACGUUGAAUCAACGUUAAUUUUAAAAUCAAUCAAUUAGCAAAAAUGCCAAAUACGUGUAAAAUAGUAUUAUUUUAUUUAAUUUCGUGUUUUUUAACGUGUUCGGCAUCGGAUACACCUAAGGUGCGUGUAAGCUCUGGAGAAAUUGCUGGUGGAUAUGAAUACAGCUAUAAUGGUCGAAAAAUUUACUCAUUCUUAGGCAUACCGUACGCAAGUCCUCCAGUUCAAAACUAUCGAUUCAAAGAACCACAACCCGUCAAGCCGUGGUUAGGAGUAUGGAAUGCCACCAUUCCGGGAAGUGCUUGUUUAGGACCGGAUUAUACAUCUAAUUUCAAAUUUGUUGGUCAAGAAGAUUGUUUGUAUCUUAAUGUUUAUACACCAAAGUUACCACAAGAUAAUACGGCUGACGAUUUAAUGAAUGUAGUGGUGCACAUACACGGCGGCGCGUUCAUUGGUGGCCAAGGAAUAUCUUAUGGUCCACAAUAUCUUUUGGAUAUCAAUGAUUUCGUUUAUGUAUCAAUAAAUUACCGUUUGGGAGUAUUAGGAUUUGCCACAACCGACGAUGAUAUUUUACCUGCAAACAACGGUAUGAAAGAUCAAGUAGCGGCAUUGAGAUGGAUAAAACAAAACAUUGUUGUGUUUGGUGGUAACCCAAACAGUGUCACAAUUACCGGCAUGUCGGCUGGUGCAAGUUCUGUUCAUUAUCAUAUGAUUUCACCAAUGUCAAACGGCUUAUUUAAUCAAGCAAUACUUCAAAGUGGAAGUGCUUUUUGUCAUUGGUCAUAUACUGAAAAUGUUGCACAAAAGACAAAAUAUAUUGCAAACAUGCUAGGAUGUCCAACAAAUAAUUCCGAAGAUAUCGUCGAAUGUCUUCGUUCUAGACCGGGAUCGGUCAUUGCUAAAUCAUUUAUAGAAUUUAUGCCAUGGAAAUACAAUCCUUUUUCACCUUUUGGUCCAACUGUUGAAGUAGCUGGAGACGAAAAAUUUUUACCCAAUAUCCCUGAAAAACUCGUUCCAUAUGAUAUUCCAGUAUUGAUGAGUGUUUCUAGAGAUGAGGGUUUUGAUCUAGCAUUAUAUGCUAUGAACGAAAAUGGUAUUAAUGAACUAACCGAUAAUUGGAAUGAAUAUUUACCACAUCUUCUUGAUUAUAAUUACACGAUUUCAAACGAAAAACUCAGAACCAAAAUUUCUCAAGAUAUAAAAAAUUUUUACUUUGGUGAUGAAUCAAUAUCGAAAGAAACCAUGAGCAAUCUUGUAAAAAUGAUUACAGAUAGAAUGUUUGGAUACGCUAUCAGUAAAGCUGCUCAACAAAUUGCUGCCAAGAAUACGGCACCUGUAUAUUUUCAAGAAUUUGGAUACAGUGGUAAUUAUUCUAUCAUAACUACUGUAGAUCCAAAAUCAUACUCCCGAGGAUCAAAUGUUACUCAUGCCGACGAAAUUAUGUAUGUAUUAAAAAUGAAAAAUUAUCCUGUUCAUGACAAUGAAGAAGAUACAAAUAUGAUGAAAACUAUGGUUAAUAUCUGGUCAACCUUCAUUAAAAAUGGAGUCCCUAAUAUUGGAAAUAAUUCAGAAAUUUGGUUACCCGUUUCUAAGAAUCCAACAGACCCAUUUAGGUUUAUUCAGAUUACUCAGCAACAAACGUUUGAAGCUAAAGAACAAUCGAACCACGGAAAUUAUGCAUUCUGGAGUAAUUUACCAUUAACAGAAUUUAGUGAAGUUAAUGUGCCGGAAGAUAUAAAAAUUGAAUUAUAAAUUGUAUAAUAUGCGUUUAUCACUACAUUAGUUUUAAAAAUAUUUUACAGUAAUAAUUUUAUAAUGGAAUUUCAAAAGUUAUUAUCAAUGUUGAAUAAUAAUUUAAAAUUUUAUAAAAAAAAAUUAUUGUCUGUUUUUAAUACAUUAAUUACCUAUUACCUAUUAUCUAUUACAUUAAUAGGUAUUUCUUUUUGAAAUUUUAACUCACAAUUUCUUAUUAUACCUACAUCAUAAGUAUUCAUUCAAAGUGUUGAAGCAAUAAAUUUAUAAAAUAUCGAAGUAAUUUUUGAAUUAUUAAUAUGUACAGGGAAUAUGUAUAAUUUUAAGUUAAAUUCAAACUUUCAAUAUUUUAUAUUUCCCUGUUACUUGCAUCAUUAAUGUGUUAAAUAGUACAAAUAUUGUGUAAUAUUUGACUUCCGUUCCGGAAUCAAAAUUGUAUCAUUGUAAUUGAUUAACAAUAAAAAUGUAUAGUUUAAAACAAAUUUAAUCAAUUAUGAAUGGGAUAACGUUGAUCGUCUAAUAAUUGAUACAAAAAAAGAUGCAUUACAUUUAAAUAUUGUUAUGGUAUGUUAUUGUGUUGUUUAGUUUUAUAGAGAAAAAAAGCUAAAGAAAAUUUGGAAAACAGAAGAAAAUAAUGACAGAUUUAUCAAAUACCAAACUUGAGGUUACUAAUAUUGGUUCUAUACUUCAUAAUUCAUAUCAAAAUUCUCAUUGUUAAAAAAGGAAGUAGUGACCUUUGUUCAAUCAUUGCAGUUAUUAUGAAAUUCACAAACGGAUGAGUUUUAUAAUUUUAUCAAUUUGGAUGCCACAUUGCCAUGAUGGUAGAGGCACCUAGUGAUAUUCAGAAGGUAGUCAUAGUGCCAGAAUGACUAUUCGCCCUGAACUUUGUCACAUUUACAGCACCACAAACAGGUACUUACUACUUAGUCAUUUCCAGUAGGUACUAGUAACUUUAUACAGCAAUUAAUUAUUUUUAUUUGUUUUAUUAUUGUAAAGUAUCAAAUUAUUGUUCAUAUAAUAAAGUAUAAGAGUUUUGUUUUAAACAACUACCCGACUUAUCAUAACUUCUCAAGCUUAUCGGAAACGUGUUAUACUCGCUAAUUCAUUAAUACAGUAAUAGUUGCAGUUUCUUUCCUAGCUACUUCUAUACACAGCACACACUAUACACUUCAACCUUAACCCGUAAAAUAAUUGGAUAAUGAAAAAAGAGGAUUUAUAAUUAUUGACAUUGCUUUAUAGUUUAUCUUCAUAUAAUUAGAAUGUAACUAUAAUAAAGGUACACCAUUAAAUGAAACUACUCUAAAUAAUAUUAUACACUUUCAAAGUAAAAACGCAAGUCAAGAAGUAUUUUAUAUUUUUAUGCGAAGGAGCUUUUUACAGAUUUUUUCAAUUCACCUAGUGAAACAUUUUUCUAGCAAAAUGAUUUCACUUAAUUUAAUUUUUAUCUUAUACAUAAAUAAAGACGUAUACAUUAAAUAGGCAACUAAUUAGGUACCAAAAUAUAAUAAUAGUUAAUACAUUAUAAAUUAAAAACCUUUAGAAAUAGAAAAACUAAAAUUUUAUAAAUAUAUUAAUAAAAUAUACAAAGAUACUAAAACAAGAAAACAAAUUAAUAAUUUGAUUUAAAAUAUAAAAAUAUAAUUUGUAGUAUACAUUAAGCAAACUACUGGUAUUAAAUUAUAUGAACUAAAUACAUAAUUAUUUCUAUUAAUAUAUAGUAUAUUAUGUAUGCAUUGUAACUUUUUAUAUAUAUAUUUUUCCAAGUUUGAUCUUUCCAAGAACUAUCACUAUAUUUGUAUUACUAUUAAAUCAAACAACUCAGUGUGUGAUCUCAUACAUUCAAUUAAUUUGUCCACCUUCAUUUAUUUUUAAAUUUGACAAAAUUAUAAAAUAUAAUGUCUGACUAUAGUGACAACUGAUAGUGAUGUACUAAUAAAUAAUAACUAAUAUAAUAAAAUUCAAAAACAAAAUGUGUUUCCAUCCGUUUGCUGCCCGGUGACUCAUUCCCACUACAUUGAUCCAAAGGAAAACCUGGACGGACACCAGCGAAAGAAUCGUCGCAAAGAAUAUUUUUAGCGUCCGUCCUCGGCUCGUUCUACAAUUUCAGAUUAAUAUUAUGAAUGUUUAAAUUUCAAAACUCAGAAACAAGAUAUUUCCCCGUCCAGCAAUAAUUAUAAAUUAUUGUUGUAUGAAAAACGUAUUUUAUAUAUUAUGAGACAUUUUUUAUUUAUUCAGUAUUAUUUGUAUUAAUUACUGUCUUCGUUAGUAUUAUAUAUAUUAUAUUGAUAUUAUUAUAAUAAUUAUUACUGAUUGGAUAUUGUGAAAUAUAUGACGAAUAAAUUCUAUACAAUUCUA